UCGAGCGGCGAACGGGUGAGUAACACGUGAGUAACCUGCCCCUGACUCUGGGAUAAGCCUGGGAAACCGGGUCUAAUACCGGAUAUGACACAUGGUCGCAUGAGCGGUGUGUGGAAAGUUUUUUCGGUUGGGGAUGGGCUCGCGGCCUAUCAGCUUGUUGGUGGGGUGAUGGCCUACCAAGGCGACGACGGGUAGCCGGCCUGAGAGGGCGACCGGCCACACUGGGACUGAGACACGGCCCAGACUCCUACGGGAGGCAGCAGUGGGGAAUAUUGCGCAAUGGGCGGAAGCCUGACGCAGCGACGCCGCGUGGGGGAUGACGGCCUUCGGGUUGUAAACCUCUUUCAGCAGGGACGAAGUUGACGUGUACCUGUAGAAGAAGCGCCGGCUAACUACGUGCCAGCAGCCGCGGUAAUACGUAGGGCGCAAGCGUUGUCCGGAAUUAUUGGGCGUAAAGAGCUCGUAGGUGGCUUGUUGCGUCUGCCGUGAAAGCCCGUGGCUUAACUACGGGUCUGCGGUGGAUACGGGCAGGCUAGAGGCUGGUAGGGGCAAGCGGAAUUCCUGGUGUAGCGGUGAAAUGCGCAGAUAUCAGGAGGAACACCGGUGGCGAAGGCGGCUUGCUGGGCCAGUUCUGACGCUGAGGAGCGAAAGCGUGGGGAGCGAACAGGAUUAGAUACCCU
rnacentral:rRNA from 1 species